UACGUAGGGACCGAGCGUUGUCCGGAAUCAUUGGGCGUAAAGAGCGUGUAGGCGGCUAUUUAAGUCCUGCGUGAAAUCCUGCGGCUCAACCGCAGACGGUCGUGGGAAACUGGAUGGCUAGAGUGCGGGAGAGGAGAGUGGAAUUCCCGGUGUAGCGGUGAAAUGCGCAGAUAUCGGGAAGAACACCAGUGGCGAAGGCGGCUCUCUGGGACGUGACUGACGCUGAGACGCGAAAGCGUGGGGAGCGAACAGG
rnacentral:rRNA from 1 species